rnacentral:rRNA from 1 species
AUGAGACAGAGCCAUGCAUGUCUAGUACAUGCCGUAUUAAGGCGAAACCGCGAAUGGCUCAUUAAAUCAGUUAUGGUUCCUUGGAUCGUACUUUACUACUUGGAUAACUGUGGCAAUUCUAGAGCUAAUACAUGCAGCAGAGCUCCGACCUUCGGGGACGAGCGCUUUUAUUAGACCAAAACCAAUCGGACCUCGUGUCCGUCUCUUGUGGUGACUCUGUAUAACUUUGGGCUGAUCGCACGGGCCCGUCCCGGCGACGUAUCUUUCAAGUGUCUGCCUUAUCAACUUUCGAUGGUAGGUUACGCGCCUACCAUGGUCAUAACGGGUAACGGGGAAUCAGGGUUCGAUUCCGGAGAGGGAGCCUGAGAAACGGCUACCACAUCCAAGGAAGGCAGCAGGCGCGCAAAUUACCCACUCCCAGAACGGGGAGGUAGUGACGAAAAAUAACAAUACGGGACUCUUUUGAGACCCCGUAAUUGGAAUGAGUACACUCUAAAUCCUUUAACGAGGAUCCAUUCGAGGGCAAGUCUGGUGCCAGCCGCCGCGGUAAUUCCAGCUCGAAUAGCGUAUAUUAAAGUUGUUGCGGUUAAAAAGCUCGUAGUUGGAUCUCAGUUCCAGACGGGUGGUCCGCCAAACGGUGGUUACUGCCCGUUCUGAACAGCCAGCCGGUUUCUCUUGAUGAUCUUCACCGGUUGUCUCGGGUGACCGGCAAGUUUACUUUGAAAAAAUUAGAGUGCUCAAAGCAGGCGCGACGCCUGAAUAAUGGUGCAUGGAAUAAUGGAAUAGGACCUCGGUUCUAUUUUGUUGGUUUUCGGAACACGAGGUAAUGAUUAAGAGGGACAGACGGGGGCAUUCGUAUUGCGACGCUAGAGGUGAAAUUCUUGGACCGUCGCAAGACGAACUACUGCAAGANUUUUUUUGGNNAAANAAA